rnacentral:rRNA from 1 species
UACGGAGGGGGCUAGCGUUGUUCGGAAUUACUGGGCGUAAAGCGUACGUAGGCGGCUUUGUAAGUUAGAGGUGAAAGCCCGGAGCUCAACUCCGGAAUUGCCUUUAAGGCUGCAUCGCUUGAAUCAUGGAGAGGUUAGUGGAAUUCCGAGUGUAGAGGUGAAAUUCGUAGAUAUUCGGAAGAACACCAGUGGCGAAGGCGACUAACUGGACAUGUAUUGACGCUGAGGUACGAAAGCGUGGGGAGCAAACAGG